UACAGAGGGGGCAAGCGUUAUUCGGAAUUAUUGGGCGUAAAGGGCGCGUAGGCGGCUUUGCAAGUGACGGGUGAAAUCCCACGGCUUAACCGUGGAACUGCCUGUCAGACUGCAUGGCUUGAGACCAGGAGAGGUGAGUGGAAUUCCCAGUGUAGCGGUGAAAUGCGUAGAUAUUGGGAGGAACACCAGUGGCGAAGGCGGCUCACUGGACUGGUACUGACACUGAGGCACGAAAGCGUGGGGAGCAAACAGG
rnacentral:rRNA from 1 species